rnacentral:tRNA from 1 species
GCCCAGGUGGCGGAAUUGGUAGACGCGUUGGUCUCAAACACCAAUGGUGUAAACCGUGCCGGUUCGAUCCCGGCUCUGGGCACUA